rnacentral:rRNA from 1 species
GACGAACCACACAAACGUUAUUCGGAAUUACUGGGCUUAAAGGGUGCGUAGGCUGCGCAGAAAGUUGGGUGUGAAAUCCCUCGGCUCAACCGAGGAACUGCGCUCAAUACUACUGUGCUCGAGGGAGAUAGAGGUAAGCGGAACUGAGGGUGGAGCGGUGAAAUGCGUUGAUAUCCUCAGGAACACCGGUGGCGAAAGCGGCUUACUGGAUCUCUUCUGACGCUGAGGCACGAAAGCUAGGGUAGCGAACGGG